rnacentral:lncRNA from 1 species
AGUGUAGCCGAGGUGGCAGCGCAGGGCAGCAGCAGACUCCGCCCCUACUAAAGAAUUCAAGAAGACGUUCUCUUUCCUCAGCGCUUUGUUAAACAAAUUCUUGGAGAGGGCGAGAGUGGUGACUAAAGAGAGGAGCCUUUCCUCCCCUUUUGCCUGCGCUCCGGCGCGCGGAGAGAGGGAGGUAGGGAGAGAGACAAACACAGAGCUAGAGAAAUUGAAAGAGAAACAUUCUCGAAGGCAAAGAGUUGAAAGGUGAAUCUACUAAGAAAAGAAUAACAGAGUGCAAUUAGCCAUGGAACUACAUCUCCAUCUGCCUCCUUUAAAGGAUGAGUCCUUUAAAGAGCCUUUGGAAGGAAUUGGGCCAUGAGAAGAGCCCUCAUGAAUGGGAUUAGUUCCCUUAUAAGAAGAGACACCAAGGAAGUGAUCUUUCUCUGCCCUCUGCUAUGUGAAGACAAGGUCAUCUGCAGUUUUUUGUUGUUGUUGAUGAUCUUCCUGUCAUAGACAAUGCUGUAACAAACAGACUAAUUGUUCACUGUUGACAUAUAGAAGUACUACUGAUUGGCCAGACAUAGUGGCUCAUGCCUGGAAUCCCAGCACUUUGGGAGGCCAAGGCAGGUGGAUCACUUGAGCCCAGAAGUUUGAGACCAGCCUGGGCAACAUGAUGAAACCCCAUCUCUACAAAAUAAAUAGAAAAAUUAGCUGGGUAUGGUGGCAUGUGCCAGUAGUCCCAGCUACAUGGGAG